rnacentral:rRNA from 1 species
CCUACGGGGGGCUGCAGUGGGGAAUAUUGGACAAUGGGGGGAACCCUGAUCCAGCCAUGCCGCGUGUGUGAAGAAGGCCCUCGGGUUGUAAAGCACUUUCAGUGAGGAAGAACGCCUGGUGGUUAAUACCCAUCAGGAAAGACAUCACUCACAGAAGAAGCACCGGCUAACUCCGUGCCAGCAGCCGCGGUAAUACGGAGGGUGCGAGCGUUAAUCGGAAUUACUGGGCGCAAAGCGCGCGUAGGUGGCUUGAUAAGCCGGUUGUGAAAGCCCCGGGCUCAACCUGGGAACGGCAUCCGGAACUGUCAAGCUAGAGUGCAGGAGAGGAAGGUAGAAUUCCCGGUGUAGCGGUGAAAUGCGUAGAGAUCGGGAGGAAUACCAGUGGCGAAGGCGGCCUUCUGGACUGACACUGACACUGAGGUGCGAAAGCGUGGGUAGCAACCAGGAUUAGAUACCCGAGUAGUC